ACUCCUACGGGAGGCAGCAGUAGGGAAUCUUCCGCAAUGGACGAAAGUCUGACGGAGCAACGCCGCGUGAGCGAAGAAGGCCUUCGGGUCGUAAAGCUCUGUUGUUAGGGAAGAACAAGUAUCGUUCGAAUAGGGCGAUACCUUGACGGUACCUAACCAGAAAGCCACGGCUAACUACGUGCCAGCAGCCGCGGUAAU
rnacentral:rRNA from 1 species